rnacentral:rRNA from 1 species
CAGGCGCGAAACCUUUACAAUGCACGCAAGUGUGAUAAGGGAAUCCUCAGUGCUCAUGCAAUGCAUGGGCUUUUGUUAAGCGUAAAUAGCUUGGCGAAUAAGUGGUGGGUAAGACUGGUGCCAGCCGCCGCGGUAACACCAGCGCCACGAGUGGCAACCACGUUUAUUGGGCCUAAAGCGUCCGUAGCCGGCUAGGUAAAUCUCUUGUGAAAUCGUCAUGCUUAACGUGACGGCGUGCUCGAGACACUGCUUAGCUUGAGACCGGGAGGAGUCAGAGGUAUUCCUGAGGGAGCGGUAAAAUGUGAUAAUCUCAGGAGGAUCACCUAUGGCGAAGGCAUCUGACCAGAACGGAUCUGACGGUGAGGGACGAAGGCUAGGGGAGCGAUCCGGAUUAGAUACCCGAGUAGUCCUAGCAGUAAACGCUGCGAGCAAGAUGUUGCGCUUCUCAUGAGGAUGCGCAGUGUCGAAGAGAAGUCAUUAAGCUCGCCGCCUGGGAAGUACGGUCGCAAGACUGAAACUUUAAGGAAUUG